AUUCCCUUCUUAACAAACCUUCCCAAAACAUCAACGUAGGUGUCCCUGUACAUUUCAAACCCAGCAUUCCUCAUCUCAUCAACAACCCUCCAGAAUUUAUUACUCGCAUCCUCACUAGCUAAUGCCCUCACCAUAGCAUUAUACGUACGUUCAUCAUGUUUGCAGAGACCGCUCUCCUCAACCCACCUGAAGAAAAUCAACCCCUUGUUUGCACCAAUCCCAAGAUUGUCCACAACCAUCGACACCAACUCACUAGAAAACUCAACAUUCAAGCCCCUAAGCCGCUUUUCCACAUUAUCACCCCAAAGCUCUGAUCUAAUAGCUCUACAAACCCGAGAACAAAGAUUUUCAACUGAAUUAUCAGUCGACCCGGACGCGUACAAAUCUUUUAACUUCUUAACAUCAUCACUCAUCCCAUCCUUCUCAAAUUUCUCCAAAGCUUUAACAAACGUACCCUUCGAUACUCCAUAACCUUUCUUUUUCAUAGUCCCAACCAUAUCCCAAAAUUCCUUCACAAACCCAUUACCAAGCAGUACACCCAGCAUCAAAUUAUAAGAUUUCGAGCUCAAUCUCUUCUCGUUAUCACUCUUUGAAACCCAUUUGAAGAACCUCCGCGCCACAUCAGGGGCAGACUGGAGAUUCUUCAACGCAUUCAAAACCAAAUCAUGGGUUAUGACAAUGUUAUUGGACUCUAAUUGCAGCUUAAUUUUCUCAUUACUCUCUGGGUCCGGGAGAAAAUGUCAGUCAGCACAGCAAUUUGGUUUUGAUCGGGUUGGUCUUUGGUGGGUUCAACGGCGAGCUCAGAAGAGGAGAAAAACCGGAGAGACAUGGGGGGUUAUGAAAUUGAUUGAUAGUAACGCGCCGGGAUGAGGCGGGGAAAGCAGAGACCAUGACGAGAUAGAGCGGGUAGAGUUUACCUGAGAGUGAGGUAGAGUGGAAAUGAGCAGUCGAGACCGAGAGUGGCAUCGGAGGAGAAGAAGCCACGCCAUUGAUUUCUCAUUGAUCUGAAGAGUUCUAUUGAUGGGUUCCGAGAUAGAAGCAGUUUUCGAGGUUUUCCGGCUAAGAGUCGAAAGCUAGAAGGGGUUUUUGAUUUGGAUUUUAGGGUUUGGGCCCUUUCGGCCCUAUUUUGGCUGGGAGAGUGAAACAAGAGCGCGGCAGUUUGAAAUGAAAAUUCACGGAUUGACCGUAAUUAUUAUCUCUGGAACAAAGAAAAGCCCAUCGAACGAAUAAAAAACUAAAGUAAGUAAGUAUUCUUUUUCUGUUGUUUGAAUUUUUAUUUUUUUUAUUUUUAGAGAGAUCACAUUUAAGAAGUAGGAAUAAGUAGGGUUGUAAUCGAGUCGAGUCGAGCUCGAGUAUCGCUAUACUCGAGCUCGACUCGACAUACAGUUAGGGUACUCGAGCUCGAGCUUGAACUCGAGCAAGUAGUAUUAUUGGAGCUCGAGCUCACAUUUAAGAAGUAGGGAUAUGUAGGGUUGUAAUCGAGUCGAGUCGAGCUCGAGUAUGGCGAUACUCGAGCUCGACUCGAGAUACAACUAGGGUGAUCGAGUUCGAACGAGUAGUAUUAUUGGAGCUCGAGCUCACAUUUAAGAAGUAGGAAUAGGUAGGGUUGUAAUCGAGUCGAGCUCGAGUAUCGCCAUACUCGAGCUCGACUCGACAUACAGUUAGGGUGCUCGAGCUCGAGCGAGUAGUAUUAUUGGAGCUCGAGCGAGUAGUAUUAUUGGUCGCAGUACUCGAGCUCGACUCGCAUGGGCUCGAGUCCAUUCGGGCCUUAUCGAGUUCGCUCGAGCUCGUUCGAGCUCGAGUUAUUAAUUUUUAUUUUCUUAAUAUUUUUUAAGCAAAAAGACAUUAUUGUCCUUUUAAAAUUUUUAUAUGACUUGAAACAUUUCGUAAAUUCGACAAUUCUUUUGGAUAUAAGGGUAAUUUUAUAAUAAUAAUAUAUUAAAUAAUGAAAAUUAAAAAUAUUAAAUAGUUAAAAUUAAAAUGCUCGAUAAGGCUCGUCGAACCUUCGAGCAUCGCUUCUGGAUGCUCGAACUCGACUUGAUAGCCUUAUCGAGCUGCUCGAACUCGACUCGAACUCGAUUUAACCGAGUUCGAGUCAAUUUUUGCUCGCGAGCAGCUCGGUUCGAUUGCAUCCCUGGGGAUAGGGAUGGCAGACACCAGAUACUCUCAAAAAUCUUUCAUAGCAAAUUUAACUUGCAUAUUUUAAUUUUAUACCAAACCCUACUGGGUCCUCUCCAUUGCGUAAUCCUAAUGGUUUUAACUUUCGUUACCAAAUCGCCUCACUUUCAAAUUUGGAUUGUCCAUUAGAUGUUAAUAUGAAUAGUUCAAAAAAAGAAAAUUAACUAUCAUCAAAUUAAAAUUAAUACAUACAUCAUGUUAAAUUAACAUAUUACGUUGAAUUUUUAAACUUUGACGAAGCUAUAGAGCCUACGUAAGAGGAAUGAAGGAUUAUGCAAAGAGUUGGGUUAAAGUUAUAUUUUAUUAACAAAUAAAACCAAGGCAUAUGUGUGUGUGUAUGUUGGGUAUCGGGUUUUUAUGGUUCUUUUACCGAACUCUAUUCUUCAAUAACCUCUCGUCAAUGUCAGAUCCUAACAAAUUAUCCAUUGAUUGUCCAAGUCAAUUAACCAUUGAGUUGAGUCUUUGCAGAUAUUGGAUUUUACUCUACUCAUCGUCAUCUCUAAGCGGGGAAAGGAAGGAAGAGAUUAUUCAUUUUUGUGUGGACAACAUCCGUAUAAGUAUUAAUAGGGUCAUUUUAGUUGACAAAGUAGUUUAUGUUAGGCAUCGUGCAAUUUACUAGUUGGAUUAUGAGUAUAUUAAGAAUACGACUAUUGUAAAGUGUGGAAAAAUUAAAAGUUGAUGCAUUUUCUACAACCAAAAAUCGAGUAAUUAGGUUUUUUUUUUUUUUAAAUUUGGAAAUCGAAUGAUAAGUUUGGGAUUUGCUCAUCUUGUUUGAGGUAUACUAGGGGAACUUUCAAGCAAAAAAAAUGAGUCUAUUAUGAAAACGAUUUAAGGCUUGAGAUGGAGGAGGCUUGCUCAUCUAGAUCAGGGACUCGGAAGUUGGAAAUUGUUCAACACAGAUGCCCCGUUAAUAUUAAAAAUACUAAUAAUAUUUUUACAAAUUUUUCGCUCCUUUACCGGAUUGGAAGUAGAAUUUUCCAAAACUCGGAAGUGCUCAAAAGAAACAUUUAAUAUCAUGUUUUAUCUUCAAUAAUUUGUGUCACCUAACUUUAGUUACUUCAAGUACUUCCCAGCCACUGUUUAAGUGGUUCUCGGAGGUAAUUAAUUCUUCCCAGAUUGUGAUAUGCAUUUAAGCCUAAAUUUUCCUACAAUUAACAGUCGUCGAAUUCUUUUGGUUGGGAUGCAUGGUGCUUCUUGGCUCAGUUGUGCAUCUGCGAUGGAUGAUUUGUUUAGUUAAAAGAAUGAUAUAUGCAUUAUGCAGGCAAGGAUGGCAAAGAGCAAAUUGGUAUAAGCCAAAGCUCCAUAAAUUGACGUGCCUAAAGAUUCAGCAUAGUUUUAUCGUUGAUUGCUUUGAGAUGAACAACUUUUCUCCUUCUCCCCUCUUCCAAAGGCGAGGCUUUUGGCUGCCCUCCCUCACAAAGUCCCACAAAAGUCUGAAGAAUUUCACUGGAUAUAAAAAUAGGAUUCGCUACCAGAAGAAAAGAAAGUGGUUAUGCUGUUUAGUGGCGUUGAGUCAAACUAAGAGGAAACUGGACAAAAUCACUUCUUGUUGGAGAACCAAGAAGAAAUACUGGAAUUUUAUUAGAUCAAGUCGUCAAGCGGCCCGUGCAUGAUUACAGGUACGGACCCUCCCUCUUUUUUCUUUUUUUUUUUUUCCCCCCUUUUCUUUUACAGAUGGAAAACUGAUAAAAUGAUGAACAUCUACAAGAAAAAGGGAAUUGCCAAAAGAGUACGCAGAAAGCAGAAGAAGAGAUAAAAUGUGAGAGAGAGGUCCAACUCCAACCAAGAGAAAUCUGGGAUCAAUCGUGCAUGAAACCAGAGGUGCUGAAGCUGCUGCACCCUCUUCAUUUGUUCAUCCCCGUCGCAUUUUUAACAGCAUCGGCUGCUCCUUGUGCCGUGGCCUUCGCCUGCUGCCCUGCCUGCAUACACACAACACACCCCAGACAAUUUUACCAUAACCCCAAGUAAUUAACAAGCUUCCUUUUUUUUAAAAAAAUUCUAGAAAAAAGAAAACAAGAAAUAUAUUGCAUGCAUGUAUUGUGAGAGUAGUAAACAGGUAUGGUAAAAAAUAAUAAUCAGAACCUCCUGCAUGGAUUCCUUAGCUGAUUGAGCCGCAUUGCUUGCCUUAUCCAUCAUUUGACUUCCCUUUUCCUGAAAUCAACAUAAUACACACAAGUGAUUGAUCCAUUCCUAGUAUUCACCAAUUAUAACACUGGCAAGAGAAUUCAAGUUAAGCGGGUGCAGUGAUGACCACCUACCUGCAUUUGGCCCUUGGCCUGGCCGGCUUGGUAACUCGCGUUUUGUGAAUUAUCCAUGCUCUAGCAAUUGAUAUGAUUUUUUUGAAUACUGUACUAAUAAUGUAAGAUGAGGUAAUUAGGGAACUGAUACCAGCAGUUCAUACAAACACGUAUGAGUAAUUGAUAGUGGAGACUAACAGAAGUGAGAUAAUGAGGCAUUUAUAGAGGAACUCAAGCCGAUAAUGAUAUAGGGUGGACACGUGUAAUAGAGGAGCAGGCAACGUGGCAACUGUUGGCAUGGCCAUGGCUGACACAUCUUUCGGCCUUUAGACUAGGGAAUAACGGUUAGUCAUUUGGGUUUUAGGAGAAGAACUACUUUUGCGCAUUUGCCCCGUCCACUCAUUUUAUUGUGGCAUGUUGGUAUCCAAUCUCCCGUUCACCAAAGUCCGGGUUCAAAUCUCGCAUCAUUCCCUUUCUUCAUAGCGUAGAUUAGUGCAGAAGUAGGAUAAAUUGUUUCAAACUUUUGCGUACUUUUGCGUGAGGUUGGGAUCCUCUGUGCAUACUAUACUUCUGCGUCCGGAAUAAGGAUCAAACGUAUCAUGUCUUAACCCCUAGUUUGUUAACUACUUGGCGUCGUGUUUGGCGAGAAAUUAAGUAGAUGACGAGAACAUUUAAAUAAGCUCCACGUUUUGCAGGAAUCAAUCGUAUACUCGAGAUGCUUUUCCAUCAGUUAGAAAAUAUGUUUAGGACGUUCUUACUGCUUUACUCUUCAUUGCCGGUUAGUCCUCUUCUCAGAAACUACAAAUAAACUAACACCAAGAGAUGCGACAAGCAUCAUGACUCAUAAAUAUAUAACCAAGCUCUGCAUAUGUGAAACCCGAGCAUUCAGCACAUAAUUUCAACUAUUAGGCAAGAAAAAAUGGAGUCUCUGAGAGCUGUGUUCUUAAGUGGUUAUAGUUUUAUCAUGUGGAUUGACAGCAGAAACAAACAAAAAAGGUGGUGGAUUUACGGUCCUGUGACUACUCGGCACCUUACAACUUCGGUGAUUCUAAUUCAGAUACAGGAGGAAUGGCAGCAGCAUUUUUUUCCAAUGAUAGCACCUUGUGGUGAGACGUACUUCCAUAGAUUUGCUGGUCGGGGAUCUGAUGGCUGCUUGAUUAUAGACGUCAUUGUUGACAUUUCUGAGACCUCAAACCUGAUCACUACCCAUCUUAUCUUUGUUUUGCUGACGGGGUUUUGGUCCUUUAUCUCCUUUAGUUGUAAUAAGGAAUGCUUCAACUAAUGUUUGUUCCUCUAAACUCAGCUGAGCACCUGGAUUACUGUUGCUAAGUCCCUACCUGGAUUCAGUAGGAACCAGUUUCCGGCAUGGAGCAAACUUUGCAACUGGAGGGCCACCAUUUGCCGGCAGAACGAAUCUUGGUUUCUGACAGGUGUAAGCCCGUUUCCUCCGGAUAUUCAAGUCGAACACUAAAGCACGAACAGCUUACUUCUACGAUCAAGGUAGAAGAAAUCCCGAACUCGAAACCAAUAUACGUUGGUAAAUUAUAUAUACAUCCUAAGCUUGAUGAUUGAUAUGAAUCUUCUCAAAUUUUGCGGCCAAGAUAGCAUCUGAUGUAAACAGGCUCCCUAGACCACAAGACUUCUCAAAGGCUCUUUACUCAUUUGACAUAGGUCAAAUUGAUAUACCUGCCGGUUUCCAAACAAUGAGCAUGGAAGAGCUUUAAGCCACUCUUCCUGAUAUAAUCAGCCAGUUUUCUAAACAAAUCUGAGUGAGUUCUACAGAUCAUUCAAUGAUUAGAAGUGACAAUCAACUGCAUAACAAACAAAUGAUCUAUUCAUCACUGCUACAAGAUACUUAAUGACAGCUAUAUCUGGCAGGACUUGUAUUCAAAAGAAGCAAGAGUAUUCUGGAUGCACAAUACAGGUCCCAUUGGUUGCUUGCCAGUGGCCACUAUCAAAGUCCAAAAUCCAGAGCUCGGAUAUCUUGAUGACCAUGGCUGUGUAAAGAGUCAGAAUCAUAUGGCUGUGAGGUUUAAUAAAAAGCUCAAGCAUUCAAUUAUCCAACUCAGGGCAGAGCUUUCAGAAUUUACAAUAACCUAUGUAGAUAUGUACAGGGCAAAGUACGACUUAAUCAGGAAUGCAAAAGAACAAGGUACUUUAUUAUCAAACCAGGGUCAAUGAACAGUCACUUCAGAAUCAUAAAUAAAUCACCAAACUAGUCAAUAUUGCUUCAGUUUUUAAUUUUUUUCUCUUUUUUUCCCUAUGAUAGCAGAUUAAACAUCUAAAUAUUAAUUAAGAAAAGAAAACAGUUGGCUAAACUUAAAAUAUAAGGCAUCAAAAUUCCCCAACAGAAACCAUGUGCUGUAUUUACUAUGUUCUUUAUUGCUAAUAGACACACUCUGUGACUGAAUAGACAAUGUGUUAUUCCCAGAGAAUAUAAUUUGACUGCUCCUUGGAAGCCAUUUUUAAAUGCCAAAGUUUUCAAGAGUAGUUUGAAAUUAAAAUUUAUACAUUAAUUCAAGAACCACUUAAUGUCCUAAUUACACCACUAAAUUUUCCAUUUACAGGAUUUGAGAACCCUUUCAAAAUCUGCUGUGGACUUCAUGGAAUCGAUUUUGAUGUCUUGUGCAGUAAGAAAGCAACUAUAAAUGGUAGUGAAGUAUAUGCAGGUUCUUGUGCAAAACCUUCUGCAAUAAUCAGCUGGGAUGGAGUACACUAUUCUCAGGCUACAAAUAAUUUGAUUGCUAGUCGCAUAGUCAAUGGAUCACUUUCAGACCCACCAAUGCCAAUCACACAAGCAUGUCGAAGGAAAAUUUGAACAAUUCUGUGCAUUCAAUAAUUAAACUAUUGCUUCUAAAACUCCCAAGCUUUUUUUUUUUUUAAGUGGGAGGACUCGAAUCCAAGACCUCUUACUUACACUCUCUUCCCUCGAACCACCCAACCCAUCCCCCCCCCCCACCCAAACCAAAAAAAAAAAAAAAAACUCCCGAGCUAGUCGUGCUUACUAGAAAUUUAACCCAAAAGUUUUAGAGUUGUUUCCAAGAUGUAAUUUCCAAUUUUCAAAGGCAUCUUCCUCCUAUCCAUACAAAACACCACCUUCCCCACAAAAUAAAUCAACUCUUGCUGGUUUAAGAGAGGAAAUAUACCAGCAACCCAUACCCAAACAAUGAAGUAAACUGUUUCUCUUUUGGAAUCAUAGAUCAAGCCAAUACAUAUGUACUAAAUUUUAGAAAGCAUGAUCAGCCAUUGUGAUCGUCCUGGAUCAGCCUAUUGCAUAUGCUAGUUUGCUGGAAAAUAAAUGCACAAUACCUGGUUAUUCAUAGCUUCCAAGUCUCAAAGCAAGAAAAAGAUCAUAUGUACCAUCUACAUGGCUAUUGAAAACUAUUGUUUCAUUGCUAAAAGCAGACAAGUAAAGAACAUCCAUUUUGAUAACUACAUGCCAUAUUAGAAAAAUUUCUCUCCCUAACACAAGUAGCAACAAGACAUGGACAGGAAGGGGGCAGUUUCUUACUAUGUAACAAAACAAAACACUAUCUACAUAAAGGAUGAGGCAGAUCCUUAGGAGGACAUUAUUUGGCAGUACUCCACUUUAAGGCCUAUCAAAUGACUAUAUACCCAAAUGACAGAUAAUUUCAUCUCUUGAUUAGCGCACAUACUUUUAGUAAUAACAUAUAUUCAGCACAUCGACAUGCCAGAAAGCCACACACUGCAAAAGCUAGACAGGAAACUUGGAGUUUCAACUUAUCCUGAGGCAACCACAGCCUCACUUUCUUAAAGAAUCCAAUUCAGUGCAAGUGUUUGGACAACAAUGUAGCAUGCAUAAUUUGUUACCUGCUUUAUGAAGCUCCUCGAUGGUCAAAUCCAUAAAAUGACUAAAAGAGUAUCCCCUUAGGGUCUGAUCCAUCUGAAUUUCCUGUAAAUAAUUUCAGACCCAGCGUAAAUAAGCUUUAUGCAGAACAAAAGCCGUGUUGCUUAGACAAAGAGCCCACUUGUUAAAUCCUGAGACAUAUUUACCCUGAUAUUAGCAAACUAGAUAAAGCAACAUAUCACAAUGAGCCAGGAAAUCUUUUCAUACCAACUUCAACAAUCUUAACAAUUUUCCCACAAUUGUCAAAAAUUAAAUUAUUUAAAUUUCCUUUCUGUAUUGUUUUACUUUGUUGUUUCAAAAUUCUUCGAAUUUAAGCUGUCGCAACCAAAAAUAUGAAGCAGAAAAAAGUCAAUUAAACAAGAAUAUAAACCUCAAAAUCAGGUAAUAUAGCAAGAUCAACUUGAUGUUGUUAAAUUGUUUUAAAGAAAAAAAAUUGAUACUCUUUUUAUUCUUUCAUCUGAUAAAUACUGUAACCAAAUUCACUAGAUAACAUUGAGUGUGUUUGGAUAGGAGAUUAUUCUGUUCUAGAUAGUGCUCCUUAAUCAAGCAGACCAGGCAUUCUUCAAAUUUGCAUCAAGAAACUUGAGAUUCGAGUUCUUUGAGUGUGCCUGAAAAUCUAUAUCCACAGUCCAAGGAGAUGCCUUUUAGUGCAUGAAAGGCAGGAAUAUGAAUCAUAGACAGGCAUACAGAUUAUUCUAAUAUUUCAACAGUCUACUUUUUACAAUGUUCAUCUUAACAAAAUAUGUAUGUAUAUACACAUGCACACACAUAUCCAUGAAGACAUAUACAAACAAACAUACAUGUACAUAUAAGUCCAUUUGUGUCUGUCUAUGUACUGCCAACUAAAAGAGAACUGCUACCAUUUUGCAAAAAAUCAAAGAAAGAAGCACGCAAAAGUCCAAGCCAAACCAAAAACAAAGCAACGUAUUUUUGUAAUGCAAUCUUAAGACAUAUCAUGAAUAAAGCAAAUAAGUACAGUUUCAAAUUGCUCUUUCCUGAUCAAAUUGAAGGACAAAGUGGAACUUUGGAGGUGAUAAAAUCUAUAAACUGUGACAGUGCAUCAUCAGAAUAACAAGAUAUGCAUCUUAAACAGAAAUAAGUGUUCAGCUAUCAAAAAGCUAUGCCAAGGAAAGCGUUUCCUUCUAGCAUUGAUAUAAUAGUGUGAGUGGAAAUAACUUUCCAACCUGCAAUGAAGAUUAUUCUUGGGAAAUUAAGCAGUACCAUAUGCCAUCAGAACCUGCCAAAGGGAUUGAAUUGCCACAGAUAUGGUCUCUAAAAGCAAGAGAAGUUGAUGCUCAGCAACUUAUAUCCUUUGUUCAACAUCCUGGUGCAUAUGAAGGCGAACCACACUGAACUACCCAUGUAGUGUGGCUAGCUUGAAAACACAAAUUUAGAAGUUUGUCAACCCUCAUUUAUUUUCAACUCUUGAAUGUGAAUUUGAGUAGUUUUAGAAAUUAAGCCUCUAUGGACCAAAUUGUCCCAAAAGGUAUUUAGGCAGCUUCCAUCAUUAGCAAAAGAAUCACUAAAGCUUUUGUAGAUUUUGAGAGUUACCAUCAACCGUCUCCUAUACAUCUCAUGUGACAAACUUGAAAAUGCGACCAUGUUUCCCUCUUUCAAAUAAGCAUAAGCCAGACUAGUGUAUACCACACUAUCUCCUGAUAUUCCCUUCUCAUUCAUAGUGAUAAAAACUUUCUCGGCGCAAUCAACCUUUUCCCGCUUACACAGGCGUCGUAUAAGUGCCCUGUAUACAGAGAUGUCAACACAAAGACCUCUCUCUGAAAGUUCAUCUGGCAAUUUUAUUAUUGCUUUUUCAUCAUCUUGGUUGCAGUAAAAAUCUACAAGCCAAGAGAACAUGCAAUAACUUGGAGACAGUCCUGCAGCAAGCAUCUCAAAUAAUAUAUCUUUAGCGCCAUUUACAUCCUUCACUUUGCAAUACCCAUGAAUUAAUGCCUUAAAAGUAAAAGAGUCAGGUUUCAAUCCAGCCCCUAACAUCUUACUUCUAACCAUCAAAGCAGACCUCAUAUCUCCAAUUUUGCAAUAGGCAUUUAUCAAAGUAUUACAUGUGAUGUUAUCAGGUUCAACCUUUUUCCCAUUCAUCUCAUUCAACAGUCUAUUUGCGUCCUUUAUCCGACUGUCUUCACACAGUUUGCGAAGAAUUGAAUUAUAAGUCACAACACCAGGAUACAACCCCUUAGCCUCCAUGGCAUCACGCAAUUGUAAAGCUUGAUCAAGAUCAUUCACUCUGCAAUAUCCAUUGAUCAAGGUAGUGUAUGUAACCUGGUUUGGUGUAACCCCUUUAAUUUCCUUAAAAAGCCUGUGAGCCUCCCUCAUUCUACUUUCCCGGCAAUAACUGUAAAUGAGAGAAUUAUAGGUAAAGAUAUCCGGACAAACACCCCAGAUUUCAUCCUAUCCUGCACACACAAAGCCUCAUGAUGCAUGCCCUUUUGCAGUACAAAGAGAUUAACGUAUUAUACGUUAUUAGAUCAGGAAAUACAGCCUUAAACUCCAUUUCUCUCAAUAACUCUUCUGCUUUCUCCACGUCCCCGGACUUGCAACAAGCAUGAAUCAACACAUUGUAUAUAUGCAGGUUCGGAACGACCCCAGCUUUUAUGAUCUUCCUGUAUAAUUUCCACACUGUAUCACAUAAUCUAUCCUUGACCAAAGAGUUCAACAGGACAGUACAAGCAUGCAAAUGAGGUUUAAACCCACAUAGCCUCAUGUGCUCAAACACUUGAACGGCAUCCUGUGUCUUUUUAGAAUUAGCAUAAAAUAUCACCAACCAACUCAAAACAUGAGAAUUCACAUCUGGACUGUCACAACCGCUCACAAGAGCAUUCAACACCGUUGGCGAUGACAAAAAAUCUUUAAGCGCAAUCUUUUCAAGCAUAGCAUGUGCAGUCUUGAAAUGCUUUUGCUUAGUUAACACACAAAUCAUUGUCCAACAAGACUGUAAAGAAUGGUUGUAAUCGGGAAUGGUUUCAACCCAUUUAUAAAAUGACCAAGAAAGAGAAAACCCAUAUGACGAAAGGCUAAUAAGUGCCUGAUUGAUCGUACUUGAAGACACAAAAGAACCAAUCUUGGGCUUCAAAAUAUCAUCCCAGUGACCCUUCACCACAAUGGCACACACAGUUUUGACAAAUAGACUUUCACUGCUUACCCUAACGGAGCUAGCCAUUAAAAAUCAAGCCGAAUACACCAACGAUCUAGUCCAAAUAAAUAAUCCAGAAGAUGCCUGCUCUUGAUUCUGAGAAACUUGGCAAGAGUAGCAACUCGUUAUGCUGGUCCAUGAGAAUUAAUCAAUUAUUACUAAUUAUAAAUUGGGAAACAUAGUAGUAAAUCAGAACCCAACCUUAGGCAUCGUUAGGCUUUAAUUUCCCGUAUGGUGUGCGGCUUCAUGCAAAAGUGGCAGCUCAGUUGGAGACCUGGGCCAGAGACAAACAGGAAGCGCGGAAGCUACAAUAAAGAAGUUAUUUUUAUGGCCAGAGAAGAAGAACCUAAUACAAUGCCGCGUUCAGGCUAAAUUUUCGGAGCCCCGAAAACUUAAACCUCAGCCUCGGUGGUAUAUAGGGCCUUCGACUUCAGACAACUGAGGAAAGAAUUUGGCGGAAUCGCUGAUGAGGGACAUGGCCGGUGACCGACUGGGGAUCAACAUGUUAACCGGUAUGUCCGGUAAUCUUUCUCCCUGGUUUGCGAGUUUAGGAGAGAGAGAGAGAGAGAGAGACUAAUAAAAGAGAAAAUACAGAAAAAGGAAACAAUGGGAAAGAAACACUAAAUAAAUUUUCAUCUCGCUGUGAGUCUGAAAAUGGAAAAGAUAGGACUCAUCUUUUAUUUCGGAGUCGACGUGAAAUUAAAAGAAAAGAUUUUGCACGCAGACAUCCUACAUAUGUGUCAUCUUGACUCUGAUAAUGCCUUUAGCAGCGGCCACAUUAAUUGUGAAAUGUUAACGUGGAAUGUGAGAUUAAAGGUUAAAACGUUACUUUUCAUUAAUACAAGAUUUGUUCUAAAUUCAUAAAAGUGCAUAAUAUAUCAUAUGAUCUAAUAGUAAUUCAGCUCCAUCAAAUUCCUCCGAUUCCAUUGGACACCAUCCCCUAGAGUAGGCCUAUGACACUGACUUCACUAAAUUGUAUUUUCCUUUGAGUCUACUAAGCCUAAUUUUAACGAGUAUCAGCAUGUAACAUGUCGAAGGACAAAAUGGUUAUAGAAUAACACAAAGAUUAACAGCCUGUAGUUUCUUUUCCUUUCUUCCCUUCCCACUCAUGGGAGGAAAAGCUUUUCAAGUUUAGAGGGAUCUAGAGAGUAAAAGACUAGAACAUUAAUACAUGCAUUAGUUCGCCUGACUGCCAUUAAGGCAAAACAGGAGGUUGAUGGUACCAGUUGAUAAUUUGUUUUCACUGUUCUAGAGAAUGCAUAUCAGAUACAAUACCCCUGCGGCGCGGAGACUUCUUUUGCUGUCUUUGCCUAGAAAACAGAACUGAGUAAACAUAUGAAUAUAGUCGGGAAUAGGGAAACCUGUAAUAGCCGGGACAAAAAGGUGAAAGAGACCAGCCCAACAUGGUCUCUCAACCAACCAUGCGGGCCCUUGACAGUUCCCCAUCUGAAGGAGGAAAACAGACUUCUCUCCUCAAAUAUUAUUUUCCUAAGUGAAACAAAACAUAGGAAAAAUUACAUGGAAAAAGUAAAAAAAAUCCUGAAUUUUGAAAAUAGCUUUAUAGUGGAAGCAAUGAACAAAAUUGGUGGCAUGGCCUUAUUGUGGAAUAAUGAGGUGAAGAUCUUUGACGUUCAAGAAACAACCUUCACUAUUGAGGCAAAAGUGGAAGAUGAAGAGAAAAAGGAAAGUUGAUGGUUUAUUGAAAUAUAUGCUAGCUGUGAUGGUCAGAUAAGAAGGAAUCAAUGGGAAGUCAUAAAUAGAAGGAAAUCAAUCUGGGGAGCAAAAUGGAUAAUCAUGGGAGACUUUAAUGACAUUACUUCAAAUGAUGAAAAAUGGGGUGGAAGGGUGAGAGAUAAUGGAAGCUUUCAAGAUUUCAGGAAAUUCAUAUAUGAUAAUCAGUUGGUAGAUAUGGGUUAUGAAGGGAAGCCGUGGACAUGGAGCAACAACUAGUAUGGACCUGGAGAGGUAAAAGAAAGACUGGACAGGGGGUUAUGCACUUUAGAAUGGUCAAAUGUUAUGAGGAAGCCAACUGUACUCAUAUAGAGUCCCAAGCUUCUGAUCAUAGUAUGUUAUUACUAGAAACUCAGAAGGACAGGAAGCAAAGGAAAAAGAGAUUCCAGUUUUGAUAAGAGGUGGCUCCAACAAAGUGAGGUAGAGGAAGUGGUUAAGAAAGCUUGGGACAUUCCAUGUGCUGAACAAGGUGAUUUAAGGUAAAAAAGAAGAUUAAGAACUGCAGAAUUGAGUUACUAAAGUGAAGCAGUAGCAAGAAAAGAAAAUUCCUCCGAAAAAUUAAAUGGUGCAAAAACCAGAUUGAAGAAAUCAAGGCAUCUACUGGAGAUAACAAGAAGCAACAAGUACAGGAAAUGAAGGGACAAUUGAAAAAGGCAUAUGAGAGGAGAAGCUUAUUGGAAUCAGAAUUCAAGAUUGAGGUGGCUAAAGGAGGGGGAUAAAAAUACUCAAUUUUCCAUGCAACGGUGAAAUGAAGAAGGAAGAGAAUAGAUUGCAGAAUUUGAGAAAGGAGAGUGGAGAAUGGACUACCAAUGACGAAGAACUGGGUGGGGAAAUAGCCAAAUAUUAUGAGGACCUGUUCAAAUCGAAAGCAAAUAGGCAGCUAGAGGAGAUCUUAGAGGGGAUUCCUAUAACUAUAACUGAACAUAUGAACAAGGAUUUGACCAAAAAAGUGGAUGAAAAUGAAAUAAAGAAUGCAUUUUUUUCAAUGAAUCCUAAUAAGACUCCUGGAAAUGAUGGCAUGUCCUCGUUUUUUUUCAAAAUUUCUGGAGUCUUAUUAAAAAGGAUUUGGUAAAUGCAAUCCAAGGAUUCUUCCAUCAUGGAGUCAUCCUCAAAGCCAUAAACCAUACUAUUAUCUCUUUGAUUCCAAAAGUUGAUGGUCCUACAGAGAUUAAUCAGUAUAGGCCUAUUAGUCUUUGUCAAGUGAUCUAUAAAGCGUUAGCAAAAAUCCUUGUUAACAGACUAAAGCCUUGCUAAGUAGAUGCAUCAGCAAAAGCCAAUCUGCAUUUGUACCAGGUAGGCAAAUUUUAGACAAUGUCAUUCUUUCUCAUGAGUUGAUGCACUAUCUAAAAAAAAGGCAAGGUAGAGUGGGCUCUAUGGCAAUGAAACUGGACAUGUCUAAAGCCUACGAUAGAGUGGAAUGGAGCUUUUUGAAGGCAAUAAUGGAAAAAAUGGGUUUUUGCUCAACUUGGGUAAACUGGAUCAUGGCAUGCAUAAGUACAGUAACCUACUCCUUCAAUAUUAAUGGUGAGCACAAGGAGGUUGUCACCCCCUCAACAGGUAUCAGGCAGGGCGAUCCACUCUCCCCAUACCUGUUUUUGCUUUGUUCAGAAAGGCUAUCAAAUUUGCUGCAGAAAGCUAAGAUGGACAAGGAACUGACAGGAAUAAAAAUUAGCAGAAGGGCGCCCACAAUAACUCAUUUGUUCUUUGCAUAUGAUUCCUUGGUAUUCUGUAAAGCUAACAAACAAGAAGCAGAGAAGUUGAAAAAGAUCCUCAAAGAGUAUGAAUAGGCAACAAGGCAACUCAUUAAUAUGGAAAAGUCCUCAGUCUUAUUCAGCAAAAACACAUUGCCAUCUGUGAAGAGUGAAGUCUGUCAGGUGAUGGGAUCCAUUAAACAGGUUGAACAAGGCAAAUAUCUUGGGUUACCAAUGGUAAUAACAAGAUCAAAAGAGCAGGUAUUCGGAUUCAUAAGAAACUCAAUAGAUAAGAAAUUGAAAGAAUGGGGGAAGAAGUUGUUAAGCCAAGUAGGGAAGGAAAUAAUGAUUAAAGCUGUGGCAAUGGCCAUGCCUACCUACACUAUGUCCUGCUUCAGACUAACCAACAAGAUAUGCAAAGAAAUCAGUACGAAAAUGGCUAAUUACUGGUGGGGUGAUGCUGAUGGAAAAAAAAAGUUACACUGGAUAAGCUGGAAGAAGUUGACAGCUAAGAGAAGCAAUGGAGGAAUAGGAUUUAAAGAUUUGAAGCUGUUUAACAAGGCUCUAUUGGCUAAACAGAUCUGGAAACUAAUAACACAGCCAAAUUUGUUAGUCAGUAGAGUACUAAAGGAGAAGUACUACCCCAAGCAAUCAAUUUUCAAUUGCAAGGUACCACAAAAUGCAUCUUGGAUCUGGCAGAGCCUAGCAGGAGUAAGAAAGGAAUUGCAAGAAGGAGUUAGGAGGAAAAUUGGCAAUGGGAAAGGAACCAAAAUAUGGGAAGAUAAUUGGAUCCCAGGAACAUUGGAAGGGAAACCAACUGCUACAAGGCCAAGGGUGUCAACUGAUAUUAGUGUCUGAUUUGAUCAGGAACAACAGAUGGAAUAGAGUCCUGGUAUUCAAAACGUUUAAUUCACAGGAUGCUGAGAGAAUACUGAAUAUACCAUUAAGUGUAACAAGAUGUGAGGACAGCUAUUUCUGGAUGCAUUCCCAGGCUGGACAGUACACAGUUCAAUCUGGUUAUAAAGCUUGGCUGAAGGCAAAGGAAAACAAGUACACAAGAAGGAAGGAGGAUGCUGGAACAAGCUUUGAAGGAACUAACUCCAAGAUCUGGAACUCAUUGUAGCAACAGAAGGUAAGCCAGAAACUACAGGUUUUCAUUUGGAAAUGCUUGCAUGGGGGACUCCCAGUCAAUGAGGCAAUUUUUACAAGAACAAAAUUAGGGAACCCCAUAUGUACUGGAUGUGGAGAGAAGCUGGAAACGAUCGAACACAUGCUGCUGCAAUGUACUAAAGUGAAGGAAAUUUGGAAAAUGGCGCCAGUGCAGUGGGAUGGAAUUGAACAUCUGUCUGACAACUUCACCAAAUGGUGGUCCGCAGUCCAGGAAGCUCAAGCCAGUAGAGGUGUGGAGGAUCAAGUGAACAUUACCAUCAACAUUCUCUGGCAAUUAUGGAAAUUCAGGAAUAAUAGAGAGUUUAACCAUAAGGAAAAUGAGCCUUUCAAGAUAAUUGAAAAGGCACAGCAGGAGUGGACAGAAUAUAAUGAAGCUAACAAAGGGGAGAAUUCAAGAAGGAGCACUCAGGAAAUAGCGAUACAGCAAAGGACCGUCCAGGUUCAAAAUGAGAGCCACACUGGUAUGUUAUUAAAGAUCCACACGCAUCAAGACAGAAGGCAAGCAACAGUAGGGAUUGGAAUCACAGCUAUAGAUAACUUGGGAUAACUGCAAGCAGCCUGGGCACUUAGAGAAAGAUCAUCCGGUGAUACAUUACAAGACCAAGCUGUUGCGAUUAGAUUAGCUCUACUGAAAGCAAUGUUUUUAAACUCGGACCGGUCAGUGAACCGGAGAGGUGGCCGGUUCACGGUUCGACCGGUCCGACCGGUCCAACCGGCCGGUUCAAAGGUUCACUGUUUUUUUUUUUUUUUUUUUUUUAAGUGUUAAGUACUAAGUAGGUUUCAUUCUACACUUGAACUUUACCAACAUAACUUAAUUUAAGUUAUGAUAAUAAUAAAUUUUCUAAAAGUUAUACAUAAAACAUGGAAUGAUAAAUAUAAUUAAAAUAUCAUAAUUCACCAUAAGUUUUCAUAAAUUCAUUAUAAACAUAAGUAGAUACAAUCCAAAUGUUCACCAAUUAUCACAAAUAAAAACACAAAAAAUAAAUAAAUUAAAUAUUGAAAUUCUUUUGCAACCCUUAAAAAAAUCCAUAAAAGAGUUCAAGUUAAGACAAACUAUUUGAAUAGCAAACUUUUAUCAGUGGCAUGAUAAGCAACCACACCACCUUCACAAUUUCUUCAACUUAAGAUGAAAAAGUUAAAUUUUUUUUGUAAAAAUAUAAAUCUAAUUGCUCAAACUAAAAAAAAACUAAAAAUUUUUGAAAAACAAAUAUACAGUUAAACACAUAAAAAAUUAAUUACUACUAAACAUUACUAAUUAACAUGUUAUAUUAAAUUCAAUGAUCCUAUACCAUUAAUUAUUUUAAAUUCAAUUAUCAAUAGCUUCGAUUAUGUGCCAACUACCAUAUUUUUGACCAGUCCAAUGUUAUUAUUUGUAAUUUCUACCCAAUUCCUACACGGAUGUGCACUACUUUUGCAAAAAUUUCAUUCUUAAUUAAUCGAAUAAAAAUAAAACAAAAUGAGGGAAACAUAUAAAAAUUGAGGGGAAAAAGAAGAAAAUGCAAAAAAUCAACUAAAGAUAAUAAUAUAGAAAAAAAACCUUGAAAAGAAAAAAAUUAAACUUACUAAGAUGUUGGAAAACAAGAAAAGUUGAAAUUUUCAACUUGUUUACAAUUUGCUAAAGAUAAUAACCUGAUAAUAAUGGUGAAGACUUGAGAAAAUCUUGUUGUGGAUAUUUGGGUUAAAAAUGGUUAAGAAAAAAAAAUAAGAAAAGAACUUGAUGUUUUAAUAUAUUUUUUAGUCAAGUAGAAUUCUCAACAAACUUAACUAUAGUCUAGCGGUGAGAUUGUCAAAUCCAAACUUGGAAAUCCACGUUCGAAUCUUAACUACACCAUUCUUGAUAUUUUGUUGAACAAUUUAAAAAACCGCCGGUUCACGGUUCUUAACGAUUCACACGGUUCGUCCGGGUUUCAACGGUUCUCCAUGAACUUCCGGCUUUAGCAUUAGAUCGGACCGGUGACAUGGCCGGUUCGCGGUCCAACCGGUCGAACCGGCCGGUCCGAUCCGGUUCUGAAAACAUUGACUGAAAGUUGCAGGCCAAGGCUGGAGGAAUAUCAAAGUAGAACUUGACAAUCGCAAGCUGGUAGAAAAUAUAACAGCAGCAAAGUACAACAAUCAGCUGAUGGCCACUCUAAUUGAGGACAUUCGAUCCAUUGGUACUUUGUUUCAACAGUGCUCUAUUCUUUUUGCUAAUUCUAGGAAAGUAGAAAGUAUCAAAUUGAGCAUUCAUGCUCUAAACAUCUGGUUAGAUGAAGUUAGGUGAAUCUCAAUCUUAGAUGCUAGGCAUCAGUGAUUCUGUAGGAUAGUUUGUCCCUUUUGAUUGGACCUUUGUCCAAAAUAUUGUAAAGUUUAUAGUUCUAUAUAUAUAAAACAAACUAACGUUUCGACAAAAAAAAAAAAAAAAGUAAACAUAUGAAUAUAGUAGUUCAACCGUCUUCAAUUUCAAAACAAAAAGAUACCAUGUUGAUUUGUAGCGUUACAUAUGAUUUUAGCAGCUCAUGCCGUCAUGCCAACAAUCUGCCGUUGUGCUGUUCCCAUACUGCAAAUUCACACGUAACCGGUUCUCGUGUGACCGGCUCUUCUCUCCUGUACCACCGAAGACAGAAGUAGUAGGAGUUGACAUGGACAGAACAGCCUCACAGAAGAACAAAUUCAAAUUGCACGAAAGAAUAAUGAAUUGCAUUUUUCAUAAUUUUUCAUGAAAAAAUUACUAUAGCGAUUUGAUGAAUGUGAAAAAAAAAAUAAUAAAAAUAUAAUUACAAAUAACGAUAUAAUUUUUUGACGAAAAAUAGCAAUCCAAACAAGGCCUAAUUUUUAUUCGCAACGAACUAGAUAUAAGAGUCAAUUCAAUUCAGACCCAAACAUGCAACAUGAGGACUAAAAACCCAUAAAGAACCUGCGACCCGACUGAAGCAGUCGCAAGAAUAAAUACCAAAGUGAAAGACAGCUUUAUUCAUUGACUUGACUACAAGAACAAGAAGAAGAGACCUUAUUGUAAUCCCCGACAACAAGCACAAAAGGGACCCCGUUGAAAUGAAAAUACUUCAACACACAAUUAAAAAUGGAAGACUCUCUCAAUUGUCACUCUUCCUUCUCGACGUACUCGUCCUCACUCUCGCUCCAGCAGCAUUUCAGAAUUGACCUGGGAGACCCACAGCAACCAGCGCCAGUGAAACUCUGGUAGAUAAUUGAUCCUCCCUUCCCGAGCAUUUCACAGCUCCUUUCCUCACACGUGUAUCCUUUCAAGUUCAAGUUGAAAUCAAAAUCAAGCUCCUCUCCAGAACUACCACUGUGAAGAGCAAAACAAAACUCCGUGGGUUGGAAACAGGCCAACACCCUUUCAAGAAGCUUGGUCAAGUCUAGAACUUUCAAGUCAUAUCCAACGGCUUCAAAACUAGCAUAAUUGAAGCCAUCCUCGGGUGUAACAUAAAUAGUCGAGAUUGCAUCUCCUUCGAUUGAAUUCAUGGAAUACCCACAGGGAUCAAAGUCAAAAUCACAGAUCUCUGAUUGGGGAAGAAUCUUUCUUAUGCCAGAGGUUUCAGUCAUGACAGCAGCAGACCUUGACUGUGUUUUAUAAAACACUGCAGCCCUAUUCUUGUCCAACCCAGUCAUGCACAUUUCUAAGGUAUAAACCGGGUCCACAUUUUCCAUGUGUUCAGCUGAAGCAGAGUAGACAUGCCAUUUCUGCUGCUUGUCAGCACCACCCAUCAGAUAAGCUCUACUGCCUGCUCCAAGUUUGCCAAAAUAGCUGUUUAGGACAGCUACUUCCUCAGAAAAAUUGCGGUGUGGAUAAGGCUGAGCACCAGGAAAUAUAAAACUCCCACGGGAAUACCUCACUGAUUUCACUGUGAGUUUGAGGUCACCAGCAAACUUCAGGAUCAAUGGAAUUGAAAGAAGCAACUUUGUAGUCCCACAAGUUUUGAGUAUGAUUUUGUAAGGGAAGAUGAAAAGACUAGAUUCUGAGAGUACAUAGGAAUCGACUUCACCAUUCGAUAAUGAGGACACAAUGGUGCAAUGAGCUGGUUUUAGAAUUUCAUCCAACUGGUAAUUUGAUAAAGCUCGAAGCCCACGACCACCAGGGUCAGCAAAGAUACCAGGUUCAAAAAAUGAUAUUUCAAGCCUUUUUUCAAAACCUUCAAAUCCAAUGGCAGAGACUGGCAAGGCCAUCUUAGCUUAAGAAAGACAAGUGCUGAUU
rnacentral:lncRNA from 1 species